rnacentral:rRNA from 1 species
CAUUUGCCAAGUAUGUUCCCGUUAAUCAAGAACGAAAGUUAGAGGUUCGAAGGCGAUCAGAUACCGCCCUAGUUCUAACCAUAAACGAUGCCAGCCAGCGAUCCGCCGAAGUUCCUCCGAUGACUCGGCGGGCAGCUUCCGGGAAACCAAAGCUUUUGGGUUCCGGGGGAAGUAUGGUUGCAAAGCUGAAACUUAAAGGAAUUGACGGAAGGGCACCACCAGGAGUGGAGCCUGUGGCUUAAUUUGACUCAACACGGGAAACCUCACCAGGCCCGGACACCGGAAGGAUUGACAGAUUGAGAGCUCUUUCUUGAUUCGGUGGGUGGUGGUGCAUGGCCGUUCUUAGUUGGUGGAGCGAUUUGUCUGGUUAAUUCCGGUAACGAACGAGACUCUAGCCUGCUAAAUAGACGAUUUCCGGUAUCCACAAUAGUGCUACCGGCGAAAUCAAUAUCUUCUUAGAGGGACAGGCGGCUUUCAGCCGCACGAAACUGAGCAAUAACAGGUCUGUGAUGCCCUUAGAUGUCCUGGGCCGCACGCGCGCUACACUGAAGGAAUCAGCGUGUACANNNNNNNNNNNNNNCUCGGGCAACCCGUUGAACCUCCUUCGUGCUAGGGAUUGGGGCUUGCAAUUGUUCCACAUGAACGAGGAAUUCCCAGUAAGCGCGAGUCAUAAGCUCGCGUUGAUUACGUCCCUGCCCUUUGUACACAUCGCCCGUCGCUACUACCGAUUGAAUGAUUUAGUGAGG